rnacentral:rRNA from 1 species
ACUGGGGGGGGCUAUACAUGCAAGUCGAACGAACUUCCGUUAAUUGAUUAUGACGUACUUGUACUGAUUGAGAUUUUAACACGAAGUGAGUGGCGAACGGGGGUAACCUGCCCAGAAGUAGGGGAUAACACCUGGAAACAGAUGCUAAUACCGUAUAACAGAGAAAACCGCAUGGUUUUCUUUUAAAAGAUGGCUCUGCUAUCACUUCUGGAUGGACCCGCGGCGUAUUAGCUAGUUGGUGAGGUAAAGGCUCACCAAGGCAGUGAUACGUAGCCGACCUGAGAGGGUAAUCGGCCACAUUGGGACUGAGACACGGCCCAGACUCCUACGGGAGGCAGCAGUAGGGAAUCUUCCACAAUGGACGCAAGUCUGAUGGAGCAACGCCGCGUGAGUGAAGAAGGGUUUCGGCUCGUAAAGCUCUGUUGUUAAAGAAGAACGUGGGUAAGAGUAACUGUUUACCCAGUGACGGUAUUUAACCAGAAAGCCACGGCUAACUACGUGCCAGCAGCCGCGGUAAUACGUAGGUGGCAAGCGUUAUCCGGAUUUAUUGGGCGUAAAGCGAGCGCAGGCGGUCUUUUAAGUCUAAUGUGAAAGCCUUCGGCUCAACCGAAGAAGUGCAUUGGAAACUGGGAGACUUGAGUGCAGAAGAGGACAGUGGAACUCCAUGUGUAGCGGUGAAAUGCGUAGAUAUAUGGAAGAACACCAGUGGCGAAGGCGGCUGUCUGGUCUGCAACUGACGCUGAGGCUCGAAAGCAUGGGUAGCGAACAGGAUUAGAUACCCUGGUAGUCCAUGCCGUAAACGAUGAUUACUAAGUGUUGGAGGGUUUCCGCCCUUCAGUGCUGCAGCUAACGCAUUAAGUAAUCCGCCUGGGGAGUACGACCGCAAGGUUGAAACUCAAAAGAAUUGACGGGGGCCCGCACAAGCGGUGGAGCAUGUGGUUUAAUUCGAAGCUACGCGAAGAACCUUACCAGGUCUUGACAUCUUCUGACAGUCUAAGAGAUUAGAGGUUCCCUUCGGGGACAGAAUGACAGGUGGUGCAUGGUUGUCGUCAGCUCGUGUCGUGAGAUGUUGGGUUAAGUCCCGCAACGAGCGCACCCUUAUUACUAGUUGCCAGCAUUAAGUGGG